CUGGGAGGCCGGCGUCGCCGCGGCGUUCCCAGCCAGCCCUCGGCGGCGCCCGCCUUUCAUUCACAGCCUGGAAGGGCGCUGGCGGCGGCCGGCAAGGGCCGGAGCGGGGAGGGAGCAGACGCGGGGGCCGGCCGCGGGCGGGACAGAGCUGGGCGCCUCCAGUCCAUUCAGUACCAGGCUGGCCGCGGCCGCCUCCGCUCUGGUGGCUGGGCCCGGCAAAGCGCAGGGGGGGGGAGGAGAGGGCGGAGAUAUGCUAAUGAGGACUCCCUCCCUCCAGGCUCAGCCAACCCGCGGCUGCUGCGAGCCCCUCGCCCCGCCCCGCUCCGCCCCUGCGCCCCCCGAGAAACCCACAGCCGGAGAUGCGCCUUUUCAGAGGCUGUCGCCCUACGGGCUGGGGCGUGCACCUGAGGAGUCACCCAUCCGAAUUCACUGCUCCUGUCGGAGCGCUUGGAAGCUCUCCCUAACCUGGGGUCCUCGAGUUCCAGGACCAGGCCAGGUGGCUUUGAGAUUGACUGAGAGAGGCCGGGCACGGUGGCUCACACCUGUAAUCCCAGCACUUUGGGAGGCCGAGGCGGGCGGAUCAUGAGGUCAAGAGAUCAAGACCAUCCUGGUAAUGGUGGAACCCUGUCUCUACUCAAAGUACAAAAAAAUUAGCCUGGCAUGGUGGUGUGCGUCUGUGGUCCCAGCUACUCAGGCGGCUGAGGCAGAAGAAUCGCUUGAACCCAGGAGGCGGAGGUUGCAGUGAGCCAAGAUUGCACCACUGCACUCCAGCCUGGUGACAGAGCAAGACUCCAUCUCAAAAAAAAAAAAAAAAAAAAGAGAUUGACUGAGAGUCAUAUCUGAACCAGAGCAGAAAGGAGAAUCUGGACUCUAGCUUGAUAUGGUCUCCCAGAGACACUCCCUUCCCACAAUUCCACUCAAUACAAUAUAUACUCAUGAAACAUUGGUAUCUGCAAUACUGAAGGAAAUGUAGUGUCUUCAAAGAAUGAAAAGUCUAGCCGGGAAUUCCAGAUGAAUACUGAUAAAAACAUUAUUUGAUGCCGAGUAUCAUGACUUACACCUCUAAUCCCAGCAUUUUGGGAGGCCAAAGUGAGCAGAUCACCUGAGGUCAGGAGUUCUAGACCAACCUGGCCAACAUGGUAAAACCCCAUCUCUACUAAAAAUACAAAAAUUAGCCGGGCGUGGUGGCGCAUGCCUGUAAUCCCAGCUAUUUGGGAGGCUGAGGCAGGGGAAUCACUUGAGGCGGGGAGACGGAAGUUGCAGAGAGCUUAGAUUGCCUCUCUGCACUCCAGCCUGGGCAACAGAGUGAGACUCUAUCUCCAAAAAAAGAAAAAAUUACUUGACAAGAAAAAACAUGGUCAAUUUUUCAUGAGAAGCACAGACCUCUAUUUAGAUAAUUCACAAGGCAGAUAGUUUAAUUCGUUCUAUCAGCUAUUUACCGAUCACUCGCUAUGAUGUGCUAGACACUGUGGAAGAUACUUAGGAACUAGGAGACAUAUAAAAAUUAUCAUACAAGGAACAGGGAAGAGUUUCAUGAAGGGGAGAAAGAAAACACCAUUCAGAUACGGGGAAGGGGUGGAGAGUUU
rnacentral:lncRNA from 13 species